rnacentral:lncRNA from 1 species
AUUAAGAAAACAUUUAAUUUUGUAUAUUUACUAGAUAAAAACAUCAUUACCAAUACACCUAACCACAUUUCAACCAAUUAAAAAAUAGAUAAAAAUAUAUAAUCAAUAAAUUUUGCAUUGAAAUUAUAAAACAACACUUAUUUUGAAACAAAAAUUUUACCUUACAAUGACAAGUAAUCUGAAACAGAGGGAGUAUCAGUUUAAUUUAUCUUAUAUAAAGCAAACAAAAAACAAAUCUAUCUUAUAUAUAUAAUAGGCUUUGCUUCUCUCCCACCUAUGCCAACAAGGACGCCACGUCAUAAAUUGUGCUCUUCUGUGCGCGACACGUGUCCUCUGCACUGCAUUUCAUUAAAGUGUUUUCAUAUUGUUUCGGGCUUGGUGUUGGACUUGGUGGUGCGCUUCAUCUGUGGACCAUCGACCACAAGCUUUAAUUAUGUCUUCUAUUGUUCUCCUUCUCAGCCGUAGGA